rnacentral:lncRNA from 1 species
CCCAUCCCCUGCUUAUUCAGUCAAAUCUAGGUACUGCUGGGAAGGGACUUUGCAGAGGUAAUGCGGUUACAGACCUGCAGAUAGGGAGGUUAUCUUGAAUUAUUUGUGUAGGGCCAAUCUAAUUUCACAAGUCCUUAAAAGCAGAGAAUGUUCUCUGGCUGGUUAGAGAAGAGGAGGGCUAAAGAGGCAGAAGAAAGAUGUGGCAGAGAGGAUGUCCAAGAUUCCGAGCAUGAGAAGGAUUUUCUCUGAAGUUGCAGCUCUGUGAAUCAGGAGCCCAUGCACGAAGGCUGGAGAGAAGUCUCUAGGAGCUGACAGGAGCCUCCAGACAAUAGCCAACAAAAACCAGAGGUGUCAGUCCUAGAACUGCAUAGAAGGGAAUUCUGCCAGCAACCUAAAUAAGCCAGGAAGCCUCACCCAGAGGUUCCAGAUGAGAAUCCAG